CGUUGAUCUGCGCACUCAUCCCCUUGAGACAGAGGUGAUCGUGAGGCGUGGGCAAGGUAGGCAACAUGGGCGGUUGUGGAUUGCAGACGGCGCUCAGUCCUCUGCCUCUGCACCGUAUCUCUCCGAAGUGAGGGCACGAAGCACGAGCAGUAGCCUGCCCAUACAUGCACGCCCAACUGCAACAUUGUCUCGGGUCGACGAACUUACGGUAAUUCCGGUCUCACUCAUCACAUCUCAAACUAAACAAUGUAUUGAUGUGCAGCUAGCUUUCUCCUAGAUUUAGAAAUAUAUUCAAUUGAAACCCUUUGCUGAUUGUCUAUUAGUUUGAGAUGUGCAGAACUGAAAUAGUGCAGAACUGAAUGUCUAUUGCAGAACUGAAAUGUGCAGAAGUGAUAGUGCAGAACUGAAAUAUAUUCUAGGGGCUGAACUGAUGUGCAGCUAGCUUUCUCCUAGAUUUAGAAAUAUAUUCAAUUGAAAGCCUAUUUCUGAUUGUCUAUUAGUUUGAGAUGUGCAGAACUGAAUGUCUAUUGCAGAACUGAAAUGUGCAGAACUGAAAUAGUUCAGAACUGAUGUGCAGAACUGAAAUAUAUUCUAGGGGCUGAACUGAAAUAGUGCAGAACUAAUGUGCAGAACUGCUUAUGCUAAUAACACAUGUACCUGUGUCUAGAGGCUGUAACUCUUCUCUAUUAAUGAAAUUGGUACACUGACACAUGUGAUUGAAACACUGCAGGCCGAGCUGAAUGAAACAAAGGAGUCGCACGCGCAGCUGACCGCUCAGCACGCGCAGCUGACCACUCAGGUGGCGCAGCUGACUGCAAAGGUGACCCAGCUCAUUCAAAGCAUGGGGCAAGGACAAGGUGUGCUAGCGGCUGGACAUUACACUCCUGUGAGUAUGAAAGUUGAAUUAUGUUGGCCUUCGUGCCGUUGUGACUUCCGGCCAUCGUGCCGUUGGUAUUGUCGGCCUUCGAGCCGUUGGUAUUGUCGGCCUUCGAGCCAUUGUUUUCUUGUAGGUUGGAAACCUCCCCGUGCAGGGGAGGUGCUGCCCAAAUUUUUAAUUUUUGAUCGAGUCUAACGCAUGCCAUCUCCUCUCUUUUGUGCAGCCUCCAUCGGCGGGUUCAAACGCUAAUGCACCACCAGCGGUUGAUCCCGUCAAUCCUUCACCGACGACCGGGAGGCCACCCUUUGAGUCUUCGCCACAGUAGCCCGGGAGGCCACCCUUUGAGUCUUUGCCGCAGUAGCUAUGUUGACCUUUUAAUAAUAGAGUUGUCAUGUUGAACUUUAAUGCAUUUUGUGAUGGUCAC
rnacentral:lncRNA from 1 species